CCGAGCUUCACCGUUCGAGGAAAGGAAUGCGACCGCCUUGUUUCACGUUGGAAGCGUGCAGAGCUGCUAGCCAGCACUUGGUCGAGGUAACCAAUGCAAGUGAUGGCCAGUUACCAUACGUGAAUAAUUAACCGAUAUUUGUUUGCUUUGUAAUUUGAAAUACACGAUAAAAUGG
rnacentral:lncRNA from 1 species